UAUAUGUAGAUAUUUACGUCCAAAGUUUGGUCUUAUGCGUACUCAUUUGGAACUUUAGUCUAUGAUGUAAUUUUCCAACUUCAAAAUUUUCCGGGGUGCUACACAAUCCAAAAAUCAUUCAAUUUGUCCCCAUCCGCGAAUCUAACCGAUUCUUUUCUUUUUUCAUCACUAAAAUCCAAAAACCCCAAAUCGAACCCUAGACCUAAAGUAUGAAACAGAAAAAUCUUAUGUUCUUCCUUCACCUCUCAAAUCGGAGCAUACAUGCCAAAUUCCAUCAUCGUUAUUCGUGUCCAGAGGUCAGACGUAGUGACCUUUGGACAUUAGAGCUUUGUCUGAUGAGGUUUCUCAUUCAACGAUCGAUUAUUGUGCCCAGGUAAUGUUCUUCACUAUCUCCCCUCUAACCCUGGAAAAAUUUAACCGUGUUUCUAUCAUCAUUCACUACUUGUUAUUUUCCGCUAUCUAAUUUUUGGUUGAUCGGAACCCUAAGUGGCUCGAAUGCCGCUAUAAAAGGAGCAUUCAAUACUACCACGCAUCUAAUACUAUCAGAGACACAAAAGAAAGAGAGAAAAGAGUUAAAAUUUAAGGUUUUCUCACUAAGUCGAGGGAUACUUUCUAAUUGCUUAGUGUUUCUUUCUCUUUCAUUCUCCGGUUUAAAUUCAACUGCUGUAUUGGUCUUGAGUUUGGAUUCCUAAAUGGUUGUUGAACUACUUCUACUUGGUUUCCUGCCCUAUAGAAGGUCAGUAAUAUUGACCCACUCUUUACUUUGAAUUGAUGGUGUAGUUUUGUGAUCUUAAUGAUUACUUAGCUGAUUCUUUAUUGUUUAUGUUAGAUAUUAGUAAUUAAAGGUCAUAUUUGUUAUGUCCUAUAUUAAUAUGCUAUUUUCACUGUUAAACUAGGAAUUUUUUGAUUAAGUUAUGUUGUAUUAAAACUAUCAUUAAAUCUGUGGUAUUGACUCCUAUUCUUCAUGAUUCAAUGACUUUAUAUUAAGUGAUAUCCUUAUGAUUAACCUUGCUAAGCUUUUUUGAUUAAACAAAGUUAACUUUUGUACGGAUUUUGUGCAUAACUCACUCCUGCUAGUUAAACAACAAUCUUAUGAGCACCAUGUCAACUAAGUUAACUGAACCAUAUCCUUGAACUCUCAUUAGUGUUUGUUAAGAUUUCAGACCUCUAGGAUAGCUUGAUCCUCUUGCUUGUGCCACUGUGUUGAUCUUAUGAAUGGAUUUUCCAGCAGCUCAUGUUAUGUUUGGCCUGUCUACUUUAAUAACUUUAGUUAAUAGAUCUGUUGCUGAUAUCCUGCUUGUUCUACACACUCAGUAAUCCAUGUAGCUAUAAUACUGUUACCCUUAGACUCUAUUGAGCCUCAUGAUUGAUUGAUCUAGAUAUUAUGCUGAUAAUGUUGUAUAUAAUCUUGUUUGUUAACCAAGCGGUUGGAAUAAAAUCAGGCUUCUAAACGUCUUUUGAAAAUAUUGCCAAUACCUGCCACAGUGUGCCUGUGAUGUUCUGCUCUUUUGAUCCAGUUCCUUCCCUCGUGAUAGCUUGUUUGACUCUAAUUAGUAUUCCGCUCAUAUUAUUGUAAUAGAACAAUCUCUAUACGUUCUCUGUAAUGACUGAAAAUCAUGUAAUAAACCUUGUUAAUGUGUUAGAGAACCUGCACUCAGGUCUAAAUAUAAUUUGAUUAAGAUAGAUCUCUAUGGUGAGUGUUGACAUUUGUCAUAUCAUGCUUGUUUGAGUCCCAAGAUGAAAACCACAUGAAACUCCCUGUUGUCAUGAUAAUCAUAUGACUCUUCUUAAUUUUUAUAUCUAAGUUCAUGGUUGUUAUGACCGUACGACUGUGUCCAUAGAGUAUAUUAUAACAUUAGCUUGAUGAAGUUUACCCAUGCAUUUAUGUGUUAACAUGUCAUAGCCUUGAUCUUCCUAUGAUGCUGAAUUGGUUUGAGUUCAGUGAGUGAUCCUCUAUAAGAUACUGUCCCUAAUGAUCUAUCCUUGUUAAAUUAUUUCAGCUGUUAAGCUGAGUCAUGAUAUUGUAAUGACCUAUAUACAAAUUCAUGCACUAAGUUUUGCUAGUGAACCUGUUUUCAUAUCCAGAUUUUUAGUGUUGUGACUUGUUCGCCUAACUAUUAAAAUGAUGAGACCUUAAUGAGAUGUAUGCCUGAUGAAUCUUUCAAAAGUAUCUGUGAAUUAUCCUUUAUGAUCUCAACUUACUUAGAAGAAUUCUGAAAUACUAAACUCUUAGUUGAGCACAUAAAAUAUAUACAUGUGCUCGUCUCUGUAUGAUACUUGUAUGUUAACACUUCUGAGCCUAAAGAGAUAAGUAAAGAGGCAUAUCUAUGCGCACUUGACUACCCGUGCCCUAUAACCAUGCUUCAUUAUACCCCCACAGUGACUUCAUGCCUGCUGUAGUGCCCUGUCCUAACACCCUAUGCUUGAUAUAAAUUUCCCUAAUCCUGCUGUGGUGCCCUGGGUUGUUCUUUUGGCUCUGAUGAUGAACUAUAGCAUCCUAUUUGUUCACAAUUGUUGAUUUUUUUGCGUGUUCGAACCUUCAAGGGGUUUACCAUGACUUUUUCAUAUACUGUUUGUAUCUUGGUAAUAUGAAAUUACUUUGUUGAUUCUUUUAUUUGUAUUUAAGCCUUUGAGGAAGAUUAAAAGUGGGUGAUUAAUGGUAUUUGGGUAUGAAACUUGAUUUGUGGAUAAGACACCCUCCCUGACACAAGCACUGCUCGGGGUCCAUGAGACCCUCGUGAACUCUGAAGUGCCAGGGGUCUACAAGGGAUAUUUUAUCCAUAAAUAAGUAUUUACUCUAAGCCUUUAAUUACUAACUCCUAUUAAUCCUCAUAGGAUUAGCAUAAAUAAAAUUUCUCUCGCCACAUUCUCUAGCUCUUUAUUAUUAUUUUUUCAUGAUCAUUAUCUUAUUUUAUUUUUAUAUUUGAUAUACACUAAUUAUCUUUUUUUUGUAUGCAUGUUUUGAAAUUGGGUUCCACUGGGAACUCGUGCCCAAAUUCAAAUGCAGCAUGCUCCCUUGUCUGCAUGAUGGAGUAUGCCACUUGAUCCUAAUCUCGCUGGUCCUAGUUAAGCUUACAAGCUAAUUGUCAAGAGUCUAGCCUCUCUCCUUAUUUAUUUUAAAUCCUAUUCACUGUUGUUUGUUAUUUCGUAUAUAUGUAUCUCUGAAUUACUAAGUUAUUUUUGGAUUUGAAACUUUGAUCUUUUUAGGAAAGUAGGCAAACAAAGGAGCAUAGGUAAAAGAAUCAAAUCAGAAAUUCUGCACUUACCCUUUAAUUUUUGGUCACUUAUCAAUGUCAAACUUAUUUUCUUAACAAAAUCAAAGACCCAAUCUUGGUAUCACUGACGAUUUUUAAUAAGUGUAGAUUUUGGCUGAUUCAAAGAAAAAACGAAUUCUCUUUGAAAAAUCAAAUUGCAAAAAUAAUCUCAGAAACUGUCUUCAAGAAGUAAAAUCAAAACAUAACCCAAAUUUGCAAAUGAUGAACUUCAUGAGUUUUUUAAACACGCGGCUUUUUCUUUGCAACUGAUUUUCAAAUACGGUAUACAACAUAGUCCCUUACUUUACUAAGCUACAUACCACCUUUUAAAACACACACUCAACCUCUUUCAAACAAAGAAUGUUUACAAGAUCUUUUGUAGAAAAAGCAUAUCUAGUCCUAAACUUUGUAAGUAUACAUGCAUAUUUCAAAAGAUGAUUUACUACUCAAAAACAUAUAGCUUCUUUUCUUUCCAAAGUAUACACAACCUUCUUAAAAUUGUGAAUUUUAGAUAAAGACUUAGAACAUUUCUCAUAAGAUUUUAAACACAAGAUUAAACAGAAUAUAGUCAUUUCUUUCCCCUAACCUAGCCUAAGCCUAAGGAGCUACCUUAUGUAGAUUUUGGGGGAUGUCUAAUACCUUUCCCUUAGAAUAACUAGAACCCUUGCCCGAAUCUUAUUGAUUAGCAGAAGAACUAUUAGUUUUAUUUUAUUUUGACUAGUGCAAAAUAGGCUGCAACAACAUGGCGACUCCGCUGGGGACUUUUACACUUAGGUUCUGACCUUAGCAGACUUAGGCUAGACUUUAACUUUGAGGAUGUUUUGUUAAAUUCUGUUCUAAUUAUGUUUAACCUGCAAAUACAUGUUUACUCGCUUUACUCUACUUGCUUACACUUUCAACAUGUUGAUACAUGGUUACUUGUUUAUUUAUAUUGCUGCUUUAUAACAAUUAUUUGUUACUGCUUUAUACACUGUCAUCACAUCUUUCCUAUCGAGUCUUGGCCAUACACAAUCACACACAAAUGACACACAAGGGUUGUCUUUUAUACCCCUCCGAAUCUUCUUUCAAAACUCUCUAGUUUCAAAGGUCUCGUAGUAAUUCAGUCCAACUCCAAAAUUAAGAAACACUCUACUCUUAGCAAACAUAGGUCAUGCUGCAUAAACUUUAGCUAGGUCAAUCCUUGGUAUUGACUCACAAUUAGGAAAUCUACCUUAAUAUCAAUGGGCUAUGCACCCAACGAUAUGGUUUUUGUGGAACGACGAACUAAUCCAGAUAAGACACUAAAGAUUCGAAGCAAAUACUUACCAAACUUUUCACCUCUUUAGAUGGAAAUCAACUACAACGUCGCAGAGAUUAACAUGGUCAUGGGUGCACCUCACAAAUUAAAGCACUGGUGGAGGAACAUUCAACGAGAGCAUGAGAAUAAGAUCAAAACACACCUAGGAGCACUAACAGCAUUGAUGAACAUUCGAGCCGACAAAGUACUCACUAGGCUGUUGAUAGAGUUUUGGGAUCCAGUCAAGGUGGUCUUUAAAUUUGUUGAUUGUGAGUUGAUGCUGACGCUGGAGAACAUUACCAGCUUCAUGGAGUUACCCUUCGCAGGGCGGAAACCAAUACUCCCAAUCGUCACGCUAGAUCACAAGUUCCUCUAUGCAUUGGGUCUGAUAAGCAACAAAAAUGUGAGAAAUGUUAAAGAGGGAUGGGUGAGUUUGGACCAUCUAUUUGACAGAUUCGGGCUCCGAGAGAGCUAUGAGUGGCAUCUUGAAAAAUUCCAGUGCGAUCAAGCAUCAUGGGAGAGCCUCCGCCCCUUAACCUUUUCUCUAGCACUAUUGGGACUACUGGUUUUCCCAUAAAGAAAGGGACAAAUCAAUAUCAACAUGCUUCCCCUGGUUUUGGCAACCUUUCGAGGAAAUCUGCAAGUCACCCUCGUUCCUAUGAUACUUCCAGAGAAAUUAGGAGCACUAUCAGCAUGCUACAGAGGAUAUGAUUUCUUCAGAGGCUGUAACUUGUUACUACAUAUAUGGGAUACAAAGCACUUCUUCCAGAGAGAGACCACCGUUGACUAUUUUUGGCGUCAGUAACAUGAUCCGAAGCCAUAAAAAAAGGAUGAGGCACUAGGUUACGCCACAUGGCUAGGAGGAAUGGCGGGAAAUGCUGACCUAUGUUAGUAGAGAAUUCAUAAAUUGAAAACUUUCCUGGUUGAGUGGCAGGGCAAUCUUGAGAAGCCCGGGGAAGUACUUCAUUGAGUUUGUAGGACUGGAAGGGAUUUAGUCAUAUGCACCUCUGAGGGUUCUGAGGCAAAUCGGUCUGAUUCAAGACAUACCUCUCUGGUCAAGAAUGGUUUUAUAUGAGGAUGAUUACGACGGAUAAAUUCUGAUCCCGAGGGUGAGGAGGCUCUAAGAUGCAUGGAAUGACUUGAUCACAAUGGCAAUGAGACAAAAUCCCUGGUGCACGCAUGAGUACUUUGUAUGGAUCAACAAAGAAGACGAGUUGGCCAGUCCCACUAGAGAGGGAUUGACCGGAUUGGAGGAUUUAGUAGCAGCUCAACAGAUAUAUCACAAGGUCCUUCCCCACUAUCUCGUUACCACCGCCAUGCAUCGAUAAGUAGUCCCCGAAUCGUUUGACCACAUGCUUCCACCAUCGGAUGACGACCAACAGGUGAUUGAAUACAUAUAGAUUAAGUCUGAAACAGAGCCAGAGGAGGAUCUUGAGGAGGAACCAGAGUACAACAAUAAUGAGGAUGAGGAGGAGGUUGAAGAGACCCCGAGGAAGAACUGGAAGAAGAAAGCUUGGGAGGAGACUCCAUGGACGAUUAUUAAGUUGCUGAUUAAUUUCCCUUUCUUGUACCUUUUCAUUCCCUAAGGGAGGAUCUAUAAGCCCAUGUAAUCUUUUAUAAACAUUUGAGAAUCAUGUUGUAUCCAUUAACAAUUUUUCCCAUCUUGUAUCAAGUGAUGAAGCCUUAUUGUAACCCACAAAUCUUAUCUAUGAAAAUUAAAGUUUAUUCCGGACCUGAAUGUGUCAAAGUUUAAUUGUUUGUCAAACGCUGGCGACAUAGGCCUACCUCCGACAAAGAGAGGUCCUUAUGUGUAUUAGGAUACUUGUGUGAAUACGUGAACUAACUGCUCUAUGUGAUUAUAUUUGUGUAACCCUGAAGCUGACUUUUACUUUUCUUUAUUUUCGCUUUAUCGCUUAUAUUACCUUCGAAAUAGAGGUUGAUUUAUGUUGAUACAUAAAACUGGCCGAGCCACCGUACAAUUUGAGAUCCAAGGGGAAGAUGACCGCAACAGAUAAACUGGCUGGAAAUGCUCUAGUGGUAGCCGACAACCCAGGGGGAUCGGGAGGAAAGGAUGAUACAUGAAAUGACGAACAUGUUGCCCGAGUGGAAUAGGAAAUGGAGUCACUGCGAGAAGAGGUACAACAAAUCCGGGAGUCGGCACACCUGGUCGUGACGAUGUUUUCGCAACCACCCUGCUUCCCUUCCCUAGAUUCAAUCCCUGACCAUUUCCCUUCAUCAACCCAACAAACAACUAAUAUCCCAACUUCUAUCACCUUAAACCACACAACUCAAGUCAUACCACCAGCAACCCCCUCAAAUCCACCCAACCCUCCUAUAAACACACCCUAUGUUCCAAACUAUGGCCAAGCACCGCAAAAUCCACCAGCCACCACCAAUAUGGUUCACACCCCUCUUCGUGACAACAUCUCUUUUACCAGUAUAUAUCUACGACACAUACUGCCACAUAUGAGCGGUAUGUUCCACCUGUAUAUUCCACCUACAAGACCACCUUUAACAUGCCCGUCACAGUUAGAGUGCCCUAUGAGAUAGACAAAUGUCGAAAUGGAGAAAGAAUCAAAAUGCAAGGAAGAGGAGUCGGUGUCGGAACAACUACGAGUACUGAGGAAACAGAUGAAAAAUCUCCAAGUUGCUCGAGGAAGCGAGAGCUUGGAUUAUGAGGACAUGUGCAUACAUCCAGAUGUUGACAUGCCCAUGGGAUACAAGCCUCCAAAGUUUGAUAUUUUUUAUGGAACAAGCGAACCCCAUGCUCAUUUGAGGGUGUACUGUAACAAGUUGGUCAGAGUAAAGAGAAAUGAAAAGCUAAGAAUGAAACUGUUUAUAAGGAGUCUAACUGGAGAAGUACUUACUUGGUACACCGGACAAGACCCCAGGAAUUGGAGGGCGUGGUAGGACAUGGCUGAAGAUUUUAUGAAUCGCUUCAGAUUUAACACUGAAAUCUCUGGACGGAUUCGCUUUAGUGAAUCUACAAAAGAAGCCCUCUGAAUCAUUUCAAGAAUAUGAUCGUUGGAUGCUAGGACUUAACCUCUGUUGGAUGACAACGAGCUAACUAAGUAUUUUAUCCUUGCUCAAGAAGGGAUCUAUUUUGAAAUGAUAAUGGGUAUGAUAUGUCAGAAAUUCCUCGAGCUGGUCAAAAUGGGAGAUUUCUUGAAGGAAGGUAUCAAGUCAAGAAAGAUACAGUCAAUGGUCGCGCUACAAGAUGCUAGCAAGGCUAUAUAAUUUGGUUCCAAUGGUAGUGGUAAGAAUAAGAAAGAGGAAGUAACAACGAAUGUCCCUUACUAUCAGUCAAGUCCUCAUCGUCUAACCAUCUCCUACCCCACAAACACGCAUCCUCCACAUCAACCAUCUUAUACCCCAGUAUAUAACACCUAACUACAGUGCUCAAUCUCACUACAACCUAGCCUGAGCCAAUGUACAUCCAAACCCACCACGACCAUAUGCUCUAGUUCAAAUAACUACGCACCAAAAUAGACUUGCAUAUGCACCCAGGCCACGUCGAAACUUUAAAGAAAGAAAUCCUAGAAACUUAACUCCAAUUUUUGAGCAUUUAGCCCAAAUGUUCGAAAGGUUGAGGAGAGCCGGACUAAUAUACCCGGUCGAAGGAAAAAUCUCCGACCUUCUGUCAUGACCCAAACUGAUGGGUCGCGACGGGCACCCGGUACCUUACUCGAUCGAGUGCCAACAUAACGUAUCUUUUUGUAUCAUACUAUCAUAGAUAACUGAGCCAGAGAGGCUGCCGUGAGAUAAGUAGAAUACAACAUGAAAUACCAACUUAUACUUAAUACAUACGGGCCUAUAAGGCCAAAAUUAUCACUCUUACACUGAACAUAGGCCGACAAGGCCGUACAUUCUUUCACGUAUACGAUAUAUGUCUAAACGCCUCUAAGGAUACAUAACUGUUAUAAAGGUCGGGACAGAGCCUCGCCAUACCAAUCAACACAUGUCCUAAUCAUACUGACCAAUAGCAGCUCCGGAGCAAAUAGAGCGCACCAACAUCUUUCGCUGAGCUGAUAUCCUACUUGGAGGACUCUCGACCUAUCUAUCGAGACCUGCGAGCAUGAAACGCAGUGUCCCCAGGCAAAAGGAAUGUUAGUACCAAUAAUGUACCGAGUAUGUAAGGAAUAAAAAUCAGUAAAUAAUAGACAUGAGAGAAACAUGGAGUAAGAGACUCGACAUGUACGUCAGCAUUGCUCUGUGAAUCAUUUCAUUUUUAUAAUGUCAUGCAUAUGCGUAUAAAUAUCAUACCAUUCAUAGGUAUAUGCGUUCAUAACAUCAUCAAGCCUCUGAGGGCAUUCCAUCAAAUUAUUUCGACCACUGUGGGCAAAUCAUAAACGUAUACCAACUGAUCAGGUGGUGGUGCGUAUAUGACGCUGUAACCUUUUUUCAUAUCCCAUAUACAUAUAUAUACAUACAUAUACAUACAUAUACGCGUAUGUAGCGCCAUCUGGUCAUGGGUCAAUGUACAUGUAUAAAUGAAUGCAAUGCAUGAGAAGUACGUCAAUAAAAUUUUUCGGAAUGUCAUAAGACCAUUAUGUCUUUGAUUAAUAUCAUAAAAUAAACAUUAUUAACUUAUAUAUUUUCUGAGACCCAUGAACAGAUGAUAGAAUAAUAAGACACAUGGGGAAUCAAGAAUAUAGACUCCCCUAAUAUUUUUAUGAAUAGAGUCAUUUAUGAAAGUUGCGUAUUUUGCCCAUUUCGUUUGUAUCAUUUGGAUCACGCCAAAAAGAAAGAAGGGAUAGCCUUAACAUACCUGAACCGAUUCUCUUGAUAAUCCCUUUAACACCAUUGAUUGCGACAACGCGUAACGGCGGAUCAAAGUAGGAAAACAUCCGUAUGAUAUUCUUGAGAAAGAUUGCACCGUACUCCCUUAUAAUUGCAAAAUCUCACGUUGGUUAAGAUGCUAUGAAAUCUUGUUGAAUUGCCAUGAAAUCAUGUUGAAUUUGUUGAAGAUGCUAAAGUUCUCACGUUACCAAGUUAGAGAAGUCUUAUAAGUGAGUUGAAUUUGAAGAUUCACGUUACUUUGAAUGACUCUUAAGUUUUUCAGAUGUCUUAUGAUGUGGGCCCCACUUUAUGUGGUGGCUUAACCACAUAUCCUUAAUCUUUAGUCUUUCCACCUACUCAAUAAUGGCUUAAGAGUUAUAUAUAUUGGGGUGGCUUGCUGACACGUUGAUGCUUACCCAUUCUUAACCAAUUAACCACCAACACCUUAAUUAAUCACCCACUAAUUCUUAAUUAACUUAUUAAUUUUUUCCAUUAACCAAUUAUCCUCAUAAUUAAGAAUUAUCUCAAAUUACUUAAAAUACUACUCACUUUUAACAUACCUUAUACACCUUACUAUCAUGGUCAUGUAGUACCUUGUAUGGUACUAGUUCAUAAAUAUCGGGUAUUUUAGCUCGGGUCGUAUUUUAUCCAAAAUGUCAAACUUCGACGAAAUUUAUUUUCUUCGAUUUACUUACCCUCUCACCUUCAUGAAUUUACUUGUCACUUGUUUGAAAUAGCAUAAUGCUUAUAAUCUCAAAAUAAUCCCAUUCCCGAACUUACGUCGAUUAACUUACGAUGAAACUUUAACAUACAAAAAUGGGGGAUGCAAUAUCUCAUUUCCGAGCUUUCGUCAAUUUACUUAUGGCGUACUUUUACAUACAAAAAUAUAGGGUAUAACACCAUCCCUCCAAAUAUUUCGAUGCAAGCAAGCGAUGUGCCUAUCAUUCGCGUGUUCCUUGGCUUGACACCGAGGAUUGUUAUAGAUUAAAGAAUAAUAUCGAACUAUUGAUUAAGAGUGGAUCUAUCCAAUGCACUCCAGCACCACCAAAUAUAAAUCAUAACCCAUUGCCAAACCACAAAAAUCAAGGAUCUAACAUGAUCACAUUAGAUGAAGACUAUGACUUGAAAAGGACCAUCGUCACUAUCGGGAAUGACGAAGCUGCAAGAACACCCCCUCAGAUAAAUCCAUUAAUCACUAUGCAACUAAAUCCUCAUAUGAUAGUUCAUACAUACCAACAUCGGUCCACUACCACCGUUAGAGAUGAGGGGAGUCAAGAAUAUAAAAUAGUUUCAUGGACGUAGCAGUCAAAGGGAAAGGGCAAAAUUAUUAGAUCUAAGUUUCAAUGAUGAAAAAUAAUAUAUCUUUAUUCGUAGGUCCAUUCCAUAAGCAAUGGAGAAUGAGAGCAAGCCUUUCAAUGAUUUACCAAAGAAGACAAGAAAGGAAGGAGUAAAAGUAAAGAAAUAAAAGAUAUGCGAAAAUCUGACAACCUAGAUGACGGAGAAUCAGAAAGGAAGGUCUAAGAUUAGAGGAGUUUGAGGCUGCUAAGAUUCCAUCAAUCAAGAUCACUGAAGAUACGUGUCUCAAAGGAAAUCUAUCAAUCUUCAAAAUCAAUGUAUCAAUCUAGGGACUAUUUGCUUAAGGAGAUUCGCUCACAAAUGGAAAGUCCGCCGAUCAAGAUCCAAAACUAGAAAGCUCCAUACUUAUUCUUGGAAUGAAUCAAAACUGAUUCAACUCCAAUGAUCAAUUUCCUUAGGACUGCAAAUCUCUCAAAGAUCUGCCGCAAUCAAAUCAAAACAAAGUUCAAAGUGUAUAUAUUGUAAAACAACAAAGAGGAGAAAACAUACUUUGAUCAAACCAACUUCGUGUUCUUUGUUCUACUCUAAACAAGCAUUGUAAUCUAAGUGUAGUUUACUAUGUAGCUAUUAGAGAGAAGAAAAAGAGAAAAAUAUUGGUGAGGCAUUGUAUAAUGAUUACUACGAGUGUACUUAGAACCAAAAGAGAGUUGGCAUUCGAGAUAACAUAAACACAUUUGUACGAAGUUAUUCAAGGAGCUUUGAAGAGAGAACACCCUUGCAACUCAAGGGGACUGGAGUAGGAUUCACAUUGAAUCCGAACCAAUAUAAAAAUUAUGGGUGUCAAUUAAUUUCUACACUUUACAUUAUGUCUUUAAUUUUAUCUUGCUUAUACUUUCAGUCGACUACUUAUCUAUAAAAAGAAAAAUCGACAAUUCACCCCUCCCCCCUCCUGUACUUUCAAUUGGCACCAGAGCAUGUCUCACAUUGUGUUUUGCUUAACAACUGGUGAGAAAAGAUCAUGUCAAAUCAAGUAAUUGUCAGAGCUUUAUUCCAAGAAGGGACAUCACAAGUAAGGCCUCCAUAUUUCAAUGGACAACAGUUUUCACACUGGAAAGUUCGCAUGGAAAUCUAUACAAAAUCCUAUGAUGUCAAAGUAUGGCAUGUACUAAAAAAUGGUGACUAUCCAAUUCCAGCAGCAAAGUCUAAUAAGAAGGCAAAUGGACAAACAUCUACUGAACCCGUCGAUCUAGAUGAAUACACUGAUGAGCAAAUGGCAGUAGUACAAGUUAAUUCCAAGGCACGAAAUCAUCUAUACAGCGCAAUAAGUGGAGAGGAAUACGAGAAGAUAUCAAACUGUGAUAUUGCUAAAGAGAUGUAGGACA
rnacentral:lncRNA from 1 species